rnacentral:rRNA from 1 species
ACAAUGGAGAGUUUGAUCCUGGCUCAGGAUGAACGCUAGCGGCGGGCUUAAUACAUGCAAGUUGAACGCUCAGUAGCAAUACU